GGGCCCAUAGUUUAAUGGUAGAACGCUACAUUUGCAAUGUAGAGAUGGCAGUUCAAUUCUGCCUGGGUCCA
rnacentral:tRNA from 1 species